rnacentral:rRNA from 1 species
ACUUUAAUUGAAGAGUUUGAUCAUGGCUCAGAUUGAACGCUGGCGGCAGGCCUAACACAUGCAAGUCGAGCGGAAACGACA